rnacentral:rRNA from 1 species
UACGUAGGGUGCAGGCGUUAAUCGGAAUUACUGGGCGUAAAGCGUGCGCAGGCGGCUCCUUAAGUCAGAUGUGAAAAGCCCCGGGCUUAACCUGGGAACUGCGUUUGAAACUGGGGAGCUGGAGUGUAGAAGAGGGGGGUGGAAUUCCAGGUGGUAGCAGUGAAAUGCGUAGAUAUCUGGAAGGAACACCGAUGGCGAAGGCAGCCCCCUGGGCUAACACUGACGCUGCAUGCACGAAAGCGUGGGGAGCAAACG